UGGGGAAUUUUGGGCAAUGGGCGAAAGCCUGACCCAGCAACGCCGCGUGAGGGAUGAAGUAUUUCGGUAUGUAAACCUCGAAAGAAUGGGAAGAAUAAAUGACGGUACCAUUUAUAAGCUCCGGCUAACUACGUGCCAGCAGCCGCGGUAAUACGUAGGGAGCAAGCGUUGUUCGGAUUUACUGGGCGUAAAGGGCGCGUAGGCGGCGCGGUAAGUCACUUGUGAAAUCUCUGAGCUUAACUCAGAACGGCCAAGUGAUACUGCUGGGCUGGAGUUCGGAAGAGNCAAACGGAAGUCGUGGUGGAGCGGUGAAAUGCGUAGAGAUCAAGAGGAACACCUGAGGCGAAGGCGGGUUGCUGGGCCGACACUGACGGUGAUGCGCGAAA
rnacentral:rRNA from 1 species